UGCAGAGGGUGCGAGCGUUAAUCGGAAUUACUGGGCGUAAAGCGUGCGUAGACGGUUAUCUAAGUCGGAUGUGAAAGCCCCGGGCUCAACCUGGGAAUUGCAUUCGAGACUGAAUAGCUAGGGUACGGUAGAGGGAAGUGGAAUUUCCGGUGUAGCGGUGAAAUGCGUAGAUAUCGGAAGGAACAUCAGUGGCGAAAGCGACUUCCUGGACCAGUACCGACGUUCAGGCACGAAAGCGUGGGGAGCAAACAGG
rnacentral:rRNA from 1 species